UGCCCAGGCUCGCUUGUGCCCAGAGAUAAAGUCAUGUCAACACUGUGUAUGAUUCCUUGAGUGUUUUUCCAGCUAUCUGCCACCCCACUGACUCUCCUCCGACCUCAGUUAGAACCUAACAAUUGGCAUCACAAACAGGAUCUUGAGAAAUUAUGAUGCUGUUGUAAAUAUCACCACAAUCAUCAUCAUCACCACCAUCAUCAUUCAUCACAUACUGACUGAUAUGCAGAUCCAAGGAUAGAAACUAAUGUGCUACGACAAUGAGGGUUUCUGAUGUUCUGUGACGCAAUUGGGCCAGUUUCAAUAUUUAUUCUUCCCAUCUUCAAUGAAGAUCUUGCCUUUAAUUGCAUCAAUGACUGCAGCUUUUGUUCCAGGAAGGAAGAAGGAGGACGAUGUGAACUAUCCCAGGGGUUUUACGAGGGCUGAAGAAGACAACAUAGAAAGCAGUUUGUAAGUGGACAUUAUGAAUAAUUGAAGUCAGUCUCUCAGUCCAUAAAUAUUUUUUUCCAUCGUUGUGAAUGAGGGGAUUCUCCCUUCUGAUGUUUACAGCACUGCUUUCUUCUGUCUGGCAAGGUGUGCAGAGGGACUCCACACCUUUGGAAGACAA
rnacentral:lncRNA from 1 species